rnacentral:rRNA from 1 species
UACGAAGGGGGCUAGCGUUGUUCGGAAUUACUGGGCGUAAAGCGCGCGCAGGCGGCCAAUCAAGUCAGGGGUGAAAGCCCGGAGCUCAACUCCGGAAUUGCCUUUGAAACUGAUUGGCUUGAGUACGGGAGAGGUGAGUGGAAUUCCCAGUGUAGAGGUGAAAUUCGUAGAUAUUGGGAAGAACACCGGUGGCGAAGGCGGCUCACUGGCCCGUUUCUGACGCUCAGGCGCGACAGCGUGGGGAUCAAACAGG